AUACGUAGGUGGCAAGCGUUAUCCGGAUUUAUUGGGCGUAAAGCGAGCGCAGGCGGUUUUUUAAGUCUGAUGUGAAAGCCUUCGGCUUAACCGAAGAAGUGCAUCGGAAACUGGAAAACUUGAGUGCAGAAGAGGACAGUGGAACUCCAUGUGUAGCGGUGAAAUGCGUAGAUAUAUGGAAGAACACCAGUGGCGAAGGCGGCUGUCUGGUCUGUAACUGACGCUGAGGCUCGAAGGCAUGGGUAGC
rnacentral:rRNA from 1 species